GCCCAGAUGGCGGAACUGGCAGACGCACGGGACUCAAAAUCCCGCGCCCGCAAGGGCUUCCGAGUUCGACCCUCGGUCUGGGCA
rnacentral:tRNA from 1 species